GAAUUCGAUUAACGCGAAGAACCUUACCUACCCUUGACAUGUGCGGAAUGGGGUAGAGAUACCUCGGUGCCCGAAAGGGAACCGCAACACAGGUGCUGCAUGGCUGUCGUCAGCUCGUGUCGUGAGAUGUUGGGUUAAGUCCCGCAACGAGCGCAACCCUUGCCAUUAGCUGCCACAUUCAGUUGGGCACUCUAAUGGGACUGCCGGUGACAAACCGGAGGAAGGUGGGGAUGACGUCAAGUCCUCAUGGCCCUUAUGGGUAGGGCUUCACACGUAAUACAAUGGCCGGUACAGAGGGCUGCCAACCCGCGAGGGGGAGCAAAUCCCAGAAAGCCGGUCGUAGUCCGGAUUGUUCUCUGCAACUCGAGAGCAUGAAGUCGGAAUCGCUAGUAAUCGCGGAUCAGCAUGUCGCGGUGAAUACGUUCCCGGGCCUUGUCACACCGAAUCACUA
rnacentral:rRNA from 1 species